UCAACCAAAUCAGCCUAUAAUACAGCUUUUUACGCGUGCAGAUUUCUGAUAGUGACCAUCGUCCAUCAUCCCAUCAUCCCAUUUCUCACUCUUUCAAAACACAGCGAUAGCCACAAACGAUUUUCUUUCUCCUCUUCUCUCCUCUCUACCACGCUCCCAAAGACCGAACAACCCUAGGAGACAACUUCCAACCACUCCCCUCUGCGCAACCAUCUCCUGCACCCCAAAAAUCCGUGCAACAGUGGAGGUCAGCACGAUUUUGGGGAUAGGGAUGCAAACUUUUCAAACCUUAUCACGAUUUUGCCUUUUUCUUCAGUUUUAGUUUCAAAUCCGGAGGUUCAAGUCCGGAUUUGACCUAUAAAUAGGGUGUUCUUCAACCCUAGAAGAUGAACAAGAAACGGGAAGGGAAAAUUGGGGAGAAAAAGGAAAAAAGUGGGUGAUCGAGAACGAGGAAGAGAGAAAGAGGCGAGAAAUUGUCUCCGUUCAAAUUUUGGAGUGUGAAUCUGGUGGCUGGGAUCCUUGACAGAAGGCUCUAGUUUACUGCACAAAACAAGAGUUGGAGUUCAGCAGUGAAACUUAUUUUUGACCCGAUCAUCGGGUCAAUCACUACGUAGGAUUGCAGAGCCUCGAAGUCCCGCAAAUUAGGGUCCUAAACUCCUAACGGAAUCUAGUGUUCUUUGCCAUCCUUGGAUUUACUUCAUAUUCUUAUUGCAUUGAGUUUCUCUUUAUAACUAAAUCUCAUUGUCUAUUUUGUUGAAAGUAGUUUUUAUUUGAUUGUUGAACUCA